rnacentral:lncRNA from 1 species
GGCUGUUUUAAAGUCGCGGUUCCGGUGUUCAGGAUGCCAGGGAUGAUGGGAAGCCUGUUCUUGUUUAUCGGAAAACAUCUGAGCCCAUGAAUUGCCAGACCCUGGAUACCUGAGACACAUCCACUUGCUUCUCAGGUUUGGAGUGCAUAAUGAGGAGAAAUAAAAACAGAAAGAUCUCCAGAAAGAAGCCAUGGUAAGAUUCAAGGUUUCACAGUCCAAGCUAAUGCCUGUGGACACUUGACCAAGUGAUCUGAGAAAAUUGGAUUUCUGGCAAAACAAGUGUACCUAGACUCAGGCAAGGGUGGAGAACAGAGGGCGACUAGAUUAAAUGGAAAGAAUGCCCAGGCAUCCCAUUGCCUCCCUUUGACGUUCCAGAACUUCAUCAAGACAGUGAUGAGCUACAUGUACACCUGGAGGAGGACCAUGCAGAAUACCAUCCAGCGCCAUGAACACUAGUCAGUCAGUCAGUAAUGGUGGGCUUCUUGGUGUGCUCCAGCUCAAUUUUCUCAUGUUUGAUGAUUAGUUCAGGAUCAAGCUCAGAAGCGCACAGCUGCCAGCAAGCAGUCUACUACUGAACUGCACCAUCUCUCCAGCCUGUGCUUACUCUUGAAUAGCCCCAAAGUAGUCAAUGGUAUGGCAAAAUAAACCUCCAUUUCAUUUAGAUUUUUAUAGUAUUUUUUGCCACUUAAAUUAUUUUAUGUAGUUGAGUAUGAUUUUUUUUCCCCCUAAGGAAUUCUAUGUAUCUCAAUUUCAAGAGUCUUCAGCCUUUAUGUUAUACAUAAUUUCCUAUAGAUUUCAAAGUUGCUUUAAUAAAAAGUUUAAUGUUAAAACAG